UGGAACGCACAAUGCCGGCACACCACAAAAACAACAUUUUUCUUCAGGAACAAAGCACCUCGCCCUGAUCUAACGAUUCUCCACCUACUGCGAUGUAUUCAGUUCCUCCUGCCUCAGUGCAUCCUUCGAGAUAUCAUCCGGGUUUAUUCUCUCGUUAUGAUUUAGACAUUCGGACCCAGAAAGCUAUAAAGUGCGACCACAUCGACAUUUUACGAAAGAUACAAAAUUAUUGAAGAAAGUUCGCUCUAUCUUCUUCCAAUACAAAAUGAUGGGAAUGAAGAGCUUCAUGUUGUAUUGUACAACAAUUCUUUGGAUCUUUUCCACCCUUACUGCCAGCAUGAAAUCACUGCAAAAUGAACAUCCCCACAUCUGCGUAAGUGCAACAACGUGCCGCCAUAGUUACAAGACUACCUGCUUGUAUCGUAAUGGACGCUUGGUCUCAGCUCAGUGCGUAGAGAAGCACGUAUUUUGUGAGUAUCCUUGGAAAGCAUAUUGCCUCGCGCCUGCACGUCUUUCUUGCCAUGGACAGUGUGCGUGCAGUUGUGUUAAUGCCAGGACAGCACGGCAGACACAAUCUAGACAGUUCACACGCCGUGCGUAAGAGGAAACGGGAAGGUAGCAAUGCUGAGCUGAUGUAACAACAGCGAAUAAGAGACCUGGUCUUUGUUCUGCACAAUGGGUGAAGGUAUAGGAAAUGCUAUGUCCGUGUGACAUAAAGAUUGUACAUGCCUUCGCAAUGUAGCAUAUUGUAAUCCAAACACUAUAACUGCACUUUCGAGUCAAUGAUUUGGUAUGUCAUGUGUCAAAAGAAAUAAAGAAGUUUAUG